rnacentral:rRNA from 1 species
GCACGGACCUUUUGGGGUGAGUGGCGGACGGGUGAGUAACGCGUAGGGAUUUAUCCAUAGUGGGGGAUAACACUGGGAAACUGGUGCUAAUACCGCAUGACACCUGAGGGUCAAGGCGCGAGUCGCCUAUGGAGGAGCCUGCGUUCGAUUAGCUAGUUGGUUGGGUAAAGGCUGACCAAGGCGAUGAUCGAUAGCUGGUCUGAGAGGAUGAUCAGCCACACUGGGACUGAGACACGGCCCAG